rnacentral:rRNA from 1 species
GACGAACGCUGGCGGCGUGCUUAACACAUGCCAGUCGAACGGAAAGGCCCUGCUUUUGUGGGGUGCUCGAGUGGCGAACGGGUGAGUAACACGUGAGUAACCUGCCCUUGACUUUGGGAUAACUUCAGGAAACUGGGGCUAAUACCGGAUAGGAGCUCCUGCUGCAUGGUGGGGGUUGGAAAGUUUCGGCGGUUGGGGAUGGACUCGCGGCUUAUCAGCUUGUUGGUGGGGUAGUGGCUUACCAAGGCUUUGACGGGUAGCCGGCCUGAGAGGGUGACCGGCCACAUUGGGACUGAGAUACGGCCCAGACUCCGACGGGGGGCAGCAGUGGGGAAUAUUGCACAAUGGGCGGAAGCCUGAUGCAGCAACGCCGCGUGCGGGAUGACGGCCUUCGGGUUGUAAACCGCUUUCGCCUGUGACGAAGCGUGAGUGACGGUAAUGGGUAAAGAAGCACCGGCUAACUACGUGC